CCUACGGGCGGCAGCAGUGAGGAAUAUUGGUCAAUGGGCGCGAGCCUGAACCAGCCAAGUCGCGUGAGGGAAGACGGUCCUAUGGAUUGUAAACCUCUUUUGUCGGGGAGCAACGGGCGUCACGUGUGGCGCCACUGAGAGUACCCGGAGAAAAAGCAUCGGCUAACUCCGUGCCAGCAGCCGCGGUAAUACGGAGGAUGCGAGCGUUAUCCGGAUUUAUUGGGUUUAAAGGGUGCGUAGGCGGAUCGUUAAGUCAGUGGUCAAAUUGAGGGGCUCAACCCCUUCCCGCCAUUGAAACUGGCGUUCUUGAGUGGAAGAGAAGUAUGCGGAAUGCGUGGUGUAGCGGUGAAAUGCAUAGAUAGCACGCAGAACCCCGAUUGCGAAGGCAGCAUGCCGGCUUCCGACUGACGCUGAAGCACGAAAGCGUGGGGAUCGAACAGGAUUAGAUACCCCGGUAGUC
rnacentral:rRNA from 1 species